GAGUAACACGUGAGCAACCUGCCUUUCAGAGGGGGAUAACGGCUGGAAACGGUCGCUAAUACCGCAUGACGUGUUCGGAUGGCAUCAUCUGAACAUCAAAGAUUUAUCGCUGAAAGAUGGGCUCGCGUCUGAUUAGAUAGUUGGUGGGGUAACGGCCUACCAAGUCGACGAUCAGUAGCCGGACUGAGAGGUUGAACGGCCACAUUGGGACUGAGAUACGGCCCAGACUCCUACGGGAGGCAGCAGUGGGGAAUAUUGCACAAUGGGGGAAACCCUGAUGCAGCAACGCCGCGUGAAGGAUGACGGUUUUCGGAUUGUAAACUUCUUUUCUUAGUGACGAAGAAGUGACGGUAGCUAAGGAAUAAGCAUCGGCUAACUACGUGCCAGCAGCCGCGGUAAUACGUAGGAUGCAAGCGUUAUCCGGAUUUACUGGGUGUAAAGGGAGCGCAGGCGGGACUGCAAGUUGGAUGUGAAAUACCGUGGCUUAACCACGGAACUGCAUCCAAAACUGUAGUUCUUGAGUGAAGUAGAGGCAAGCGGAAUUCCGAGUGUAGCGGUGAAAUGCGUAGAUAUUCGGAGGAACACCAGUGGCGAAGGCGGCUUGCUGGGCUUUAACUGACGCUGAGGCUCGAAAGUGUGGGGAGCAAACAGGAUUAGAUACCCUGGUAGUCCACACUGUAAACGAUGAUAGCUAGGUGUGGGGGGUCUGACCCCUUCCGUGCCGGAGUUAACGCAAUAAGCUAUCCACCUGGGGAGUACGACCGCAAGGUUGAAACUCAAAG
rnacentral:rRNA from 1 species